AUACGGAGGGUGCAAGCGUUAUCCGGAUUCAUUGGGUUUAAAGGGAUCGCAGGCGGCGUAUUAAGUCAGUGGUGAAAUCCCGAGGCUCAACCUCGGAACUGCCAUUGAUACUGGUAUGCUAGAGUAUAGUUGGCGUUGGCGGAAUGUAUCAUGUAGCGGUGAAAUGCUUAGAUAUGAUACAGAACACCGAUCGCGAAGGCAGCUAACGAAACUAUAACUGACGCUCAGGAACGAAAGCGUGGGGAGCGAACAGGAUUAGAAACCCCGGUAGUCC
rnacentral:rRNA from 1 species